rnacentral:rRNA from 1 species
CCAAUAGCGUAUAUUAAAGUUGUUGCAGUUAAAAAGCUCGUAGUUGAAUUUCGGAAUCAAUAUAUCGGUCGUGCCUUGGUACGUACUGGUAUCAUUGGUUUCUCCUUUCUGACGAACCAUGAUGUCAUUAAUUUGGUGUUAUGGGAAGUUAGGACUGUUACUUUGAAAAAAUUAGAGUGUUUAAAGCAGGCUUUAGCUUG